rnacentral:rRNA from 1 species
CACCAGGUUGAUUCUGCCUGACGUAGACGCUAUACUCUAAGAUUAACCCAUGCAUGUUUAUUGAAUAUAAAGAAAAGACGAACAGCUCAGUAACUCUUAUUUGAUUUGAUGUAUUAGGAUUCUAACUAUGUUAAAUUAUAGGUAACAAUAAUACAAUAAGAAUAAGAUCUAUCAGUUAGUUGUUAAGGUAAUGGCUUAACAAGACUAUGACGGAUAACGGUAUUACUUUGUAAUAUUCCGGAGAAGGAGCCUGAGAGAUUGCUACUAAGUCUAAGGAUUGCAGCAGGGGCGAAACUUGACCUAUGAUAUUAUAUUGAGGCAGUUAUGAGUAGUAUUUUAUAAUUAUUGUAGUAUUGUAAGUACAUAUUACAAGAUAAAUCGGAGGGCAAAUCGAGUGCCAGCAGCCGCGGUAAUACUUGUUCCGAUAGUGUGUAUGAUGAUUGAUGCAGUUAAAAAGUCUGUAGUUUAUUUUAUAAUAAGCAUUGUAAGGUAUACUGUAUGGUUAGGAGAGAGAUGAAAUGUGAUAACCCUAACUGGAUGAACAGAAGCGAAAGCUGUAUACUUAAAUGUAUUAUUAGAACAAGGACGUAAGCUAGAGGAUCGAAGAUGAUUAGAUACCAUUGUAGUCCUAGCGGUAAACUAUGUUGAAUCAUAGAUAUAUUUUGAUAUAUAUUUAUGUAGAGAAAUUAAGAUUAUAUUGACUCUGGGGAUAGUAUGAUCGCAAGAUUGAAAAUUAAAGAAAUUGACGGAAGAAUACCACAAGGAGUGGAUUGUGCGGCUUAAUUUGACUCAACGCGGGGUAAUUUACCAGGUAUAACAUGAUAUAAUAUUUUAUCAUGAUAGUGGUGCGUGGCCGUUUUCAAUGGAUGCUGUGAAGUAAUGAUUAAUUUCAACAAGAUGUGAGACCCUCAUUUAGACAGAUGUAGUGAUACAUAUGAAGGAGAGGAUUAAAACAGGUCCGUUAUGCCCUAAGAUAAUCUGGGUUGCACGCGCAAUACAAUAAUAUUUGAUAUUAUAAGGGAUAAUAUAAUGUAAGAUAUAUUUGAACAUGGAAUUGCUAGUAAAUUUUAUUUAAUAAGUAGAAUUGAAUGAGUCCCUGUUCUUUGUACA